rnacentral:rRNA from 1 species
UACGUAGGGUGCAAGCGUUGUCCGGAAUUAUUGGGCGUAAAGAGCUCGUAGGCGGUCUGUCGCGUCGGCUGUGAAAUCCCGAGGCUCAACCUCGGGUCUGCAGUCGAUACGGGCAAACUGGAGUGUUGCAGGGGAGACUGGAAUUCCUGGUGUAGCGGUAAAAUGCGCAGAUAUCAGGAGGAACACCGGUGGCGAAGGCGGGUCUCUGGGCAACAACUGACGCUGAGGAGCGAAAGCGUGGGGAGCGAACAGG